UACGGAGGAUGCGAGCGUUAUCCGGAUUUGUUGGGUUUAAAGGGUGCGUAGGCGGACUGUCAAGUCAGCGGUAAAAUACGGGGGCUCAACCUCCGCCCGCCGUUGAAACUGACGGUCUUGAGUGGGCGAGAAGUAUGCGGAAUGCGUGGUGUAGCGGUGAAAUGCAUAGAUAUCACGCAGAACUCCGAUUGCGAAGGCAGCAUACCGGCGCCCAACUGACGCUGAAGCACGAAAGCGUGGGUAUCGAACAGG
rnacentral:rRNA from 1 species